AGAGUGAACGCUGGCGGUAGGCCUAACACAUGCAAGUCGAACGGCAGCACGGUAAGAGCUUGCUCUUAUGGGUGGCGAGUGGCGGACGGGUGAGGAAUACAUCGGAAUCUACCUUUUGGUGGGGGAUAACGUAGGGAAACUUACGCUAAUACCGCAUACGCCCUUCGGGGGAAAGCCGGGGACCAGCAAUGGCCUGGCGCUGAUAGAUGAGCCGAUGUCGGAUUAGCUAGUUGGUGAGGUAAUGGCUCACCAAGGCGACGAUCCGUAGCUGGUCUGAGAGGAUGAUCAGCCACACUGGAACUGAGACACGGUCCAGACUCCUACGGGAGGCAGCAGUGGGGAAUAUUGGACAAGUGGGCGCAAGCCUGAUCCAGCCAUACCGCGU
rnacentral:rRNA from 1 species